UACGUAGGCAGCAAGCGUUGUUCGGAGUUACUGGGCGUAAAGAGUGCGUAGGCGGUUUUGCAAGUCUGUUGUGAAAUCUCCCGGCUUAACUGGGAGGGUGCGGUGGAAACUGCAAAGCUGGAGUGUGGGAAAGGUAGGCGGAAUUCCUGGUGUAGCGGUGAAAUGCGUAGAUAUCAGGAGGAACACCGGUGGUGUAGACGGCUUACUAGACCAUGACUGACGCUGAGGCACGAAAGCGUGGGUAGCAAACAGG
rnacentral:rRNA from 1 species